GACGAACGCUGGCGGCGUGCCUAAUACAUGCAAGUCGAACGCUUCUUUCCUCCCGAGUGCUUGCACUCAAUUGGAAAGAGGAGUGGCGGACGGGUGAGUAACACGUGGGUAACCUACCCAUCAGAGGGGGAUAACACUUGGAAACAGGUGCUAAUACCGCAUAACAGUUUAUGCCGCAUGGCAUAAGAGUGAAAGGCGCUUUCGGGUGUCGCUGAUGGAUGGACCCGCGGUGCAUUAGCUAGUUGGUGAGGUAACGGCUCACCAAGGCCACGAUGCAUAGCCGACCUGAGAGGGUGAUCGGCCACACUGGAACUGAGACACGGCCCAGACUCCUACGGGAGGCAGCAGUAGGGAAUCUUCGGCAAUGGACGAAAGUCUGACCGAGCAACGCCGCGUGAGUGAAGAAGGUUUUCGGAUCGUAAACCUCUGUUGUUAGAGAAGAACAAGGACGUUAGUAACUGAACGUCCCCUGACGGUAUCUAACCAGAAAGCCACGGCUAACUACGUG
rnacentral:rRNA from 1 species